CCCAGCUGUAGGCAGCCACUUAGGCUACCUUGUACCGGAGGCAAGUGUUCCACUGUUGGGAGAAAAGCAGCCAAGAGUUGGCGGGCAUCCUGGGUCUGCUUAACGCCAAAUUUGUGUUAACUCU
ensembl:snoRNA SNORA74 Small nucleolar RNA SNORA74